UACGUAGGGUCCAAGCGUUAUCCGGAAUCACUGGGCGUAAAGCGUGCGUAGGUGGGAAUUUAAGUGAGAUGUGAAAUCGUGUGGCUCAACCAUAUCGACUGUGUCUCAUACUGAGUUCCUAGAGGACGGCAGAGGCAAGUGGAAUUACUAGUGUAGCAGUGAAAUGCGUAGAUAUCAGUAGGAACACCAAUGGCGAAGGCAGCUUGCUGGGCCAAACCUGACACUAAGGCACGAAAGCGUGGGGA
rnacentral:rRNA from 1 species